GUGGGGAAUAUUGGGCAAUGGGCGAAAGCCUGACCCAGCAACGCCGCGUGAAGGAAGAAGGUCUUCGGAUCGUAAACUUCUAUCCUUGGUGAAGAUAAUGACGGUAGCCGAGAAGGAAGCCCCGGCUAACUACGUGCCAGCAGCCGCGGUAAUACGUAGGGGGCAAGCGUUGUCCGGUAUGAUCGGGCGUAAAGGGCGCGUAGGCGGCCUGGUAAGUCUGGAGUGAAAGUCCUGCUUUUAAGGUGGGAAUUGCUUUGGGUACUGUCGGGCUUGAGUGCAGGAGAGGUAAGUGGAAUUCCCGGUGUGGCGGUGAAAUGCGUAGAGAUCGGGAGGAACACCAGUGGCGAAGGCGACUUACUGGACUGUAACUGACGCUGAGGCGCGAAAGUGUGGGGAGCAAACAGGAUUAGAAACCCGGGUAGUCC
rnacentral:rRNA from 1 species